rnacentral:rRNA from 1 species
UUCCAGACUCCUACGGGAGGCAGCAGUGAGGAAUAUUGGUCAAUGGGCGGGAGCCUGAACCAGCCAAGUCGCGUGAGGGAAGACGGUCCUAUGGAUUGUAAACCUCUUUUGUCGGGGAGCAAAGAGGCCUCGUGAGGUCAAAAGCGAGAGUACCCGAAGAAAAAGCAUCGGCUAACUCCGUGCCAGCAGCCGCGGUAAUACGGAGGAUGCGAGCGUUAUCCGGAUUUAUUGGGUUUAAAGGGUGCGUAGGCGGGACGGUAAGUCAGCGGUAAAAAUGCGGAGCUCAACUCCGUCGAGCCGUUGAAACUGGCAGUCUCGAGUUGGAGAGAAGUAUGCGGAAUGCGCGGUGUAGCGGUGAAAUGCAUAGAUAUCGCGCAGAACUCCGAUUGCGAAGGCAGCAUGCCGGCUCCACACUGACGCUGAGGCACGAAAGCGUGGGUAUCGAACAGGAUUAGAUACCCGAGUAA